UCGGGAAUUUUGGGCAAUGGGCGAAAGCCUGACCCAGCAACGCCGCGUGAGGGAUGAAGUAUUUCGGUAUGUAAACCUCGAAAGAAUGGGAAGAAUAAAUGACGGUACCAUUUAUAAGCUCCGGCUAACUACGUGCCAGCAGCCGCGGUAAUACGUAGGGAGCACGCGUUGUUCGGAUUUACUGGGCGUAAAGGGCGCGUAGGCGGCGCGGUAAGUCACUUGUGAAAUCUCUGAGCUUAACUCAGAACGGCCAAGUGAUACUGCUGUGCUAGAGUGCGGAAGAGGCAACCGGAAUUCUUGGUGUAGCGGUGAAAUGCGUAGAUAUCAAGAGGAACACCUGAGGCGAAGGCGGGUUGCUGGGCCGACACUGACGCUGAUGCGCGAAAGCCAGGGGAGCAAACG
rnacentral:rRNA from 1 species